ACGUAGGGUGCGAGCGUUAAUCGGAAUUACUGGGCGUAAAGCGUGCGCAGGCGGUUCGCUAAGACAGGUGUGAAAUCCCCGGGCUUAACCUGGGAACGGCACUUGUGACUGGCAGGCUAGAGUACUGCAGAGGGGGGUAGAAUUUCAGGUGUAGCAGUGAAAUGCGUAGAGAUGUGGAGGAAUACCGAUGGCGAAGGCAGCCCCCUGGGCAGAUACUGACACUCA
rnacentral:rRNA from 1 species